rnacentral:lncRNA from 1 species
GUCUGUGCCUACCAGUAACUGAGCAUGGAGAGGAUAUUCAGUAGUAUUGUUUAGACAGAAACUUUUCAACAAAAUACUCAUAUAGUAAAUGCUGAGUCUACGAUACAAUGUUGAGAGGCAGGGUUUUAUGAGAAGAUGGGAAAGAGAUUAGAUCAUGGGGCACUGGCAUGGCCAAUGUAUUAAUCUGUUAGUAGAUCCACAAUAUAAGGACAAUGUGAAAAGUUUAGGGCGUUAAUUUCAUUUGGAGUGAUGUUUUGCACCCACUCACAAGACUAGACUAGGUGCUUCAAAAACAUUGAAGCUUCUACUUUGAGCAUUGCAAAUAGUGUAUGAGUUUUUAAAUGUGGUAAAGUAGCUACACUAAAAGACAAAAAAAAGCUAUCAGUAUUGAAUCACAGGGGUGUUAAUGGAUUCAAGCUAAAGAAGUACAGUGACCAAAAUAGAUGUGAGUCUGAAGAGGGACAAUUUAGGGACUAUACUAUCAUCCUGCCAGAGAUGCUGCUGAGAGAUUUACCUAUCCCCUUCUUGGUUAAGCCUCCCAGUGAGCCUGUGAGGUACCAGAUUCUACUCAUCAAAGACCAUAAGUAUUAG